UGCAGCCCUGAACACCACACAGCCAAAUAACCUGUGACAUGUGGCAAUUGUGUAUUUACAAGCCGUAGGCACUUCUGUUUUAUCCUGCUUCAGGACAUGAGAAGAAAUGUUUGGGGAAAUGAUGAAGAACAAGCAAAUGAAGGCUAAGGAUUCAAAAUUCCACAGGGUUAAGGCAGCACGGUAUGUGAGCAGUGCAGUGGUACUUAGUUGCCAGCUGGGAUUAAACCACGAUAAGAAGAAAUUGUUGUUUAUGCCCUAAUUCAACAUGCCUUUCCUCAACCUCCCACUUGAUAAUGAAAUUUGUGUAUUAGAAGGUAUUAGAAACGCCUGGUUCAUAAACUAAAUAGACUUUUAUAAUUUUUAUCAGGUUUGCUGGUUUCUGAUGUCAGUUACUUUGGAGACAUAUCUGCAUAAAGACCAGAUCAAGGGAAGGCAGGGAAAUGUUAUGUAUUAAUGAUGACCAAUUGGUGAUUAUGCUUAUUAGAAUUAUCAUAUUGAAGAAUAAGUCAUGCAAGAAGAAUCUGUACUGGUAGCACUUACUUGCUUUUAUGGAAGUGGUAGAUUUUUUCUUCAGGUUUGUUUUAACAGCUAGAUAUUACUAAUGUUUGGGCUUUUUUCCGGAGCCAAGUUUAUAUGAUGGAAUUGUAUGCACCAAAUAAGAAUUAAUCAAAAUCCAGAGAUACUAUAUUUACUUUUUCAAAUGUUUUAAGACCUUGAUAGAAACUAUUGUAAUAGAAACAUAUGGAGAAUAUUAUUGAAGGAAAGAGAAUGUAAUAUAAGACAGGUAAUGACCAAGAAAAACUAUGUAAAUUAAGGAUGUGAAAAGUUGUGUAAAAAACUUCUUGGGGCAUUUAGAAGAAGAGUUGGGCAAUAAAUGGUAUCUUAUGUAAAAGACAUGCUUGAAACUGUUUAUUCUUCUGCAAUGUGCUGAUUGCAUUCCUCUGCAAAGAAAUAGCUUUACUGUACUUUCAAAGUAAUUGUAUCUAUGUAAUUUUCAGGAACAAUAUUUUAUUAUAUCACUUUAUAUAAUAUAUAAUUUUAUUAUAUUGGUUCUUCUGAUGUCUGUCAGUUCCUACACAUGUUUUGUGUAAUAUUUGCAGAUUGAGCGGAAGCCAUACAUACACAUUUUAUUAACUGUAUUGCCUUUCUAUAAACAACAGCAUAGAUAUCAUCACUUGAUAUUUGUUUCAUACCUUAAAUACAUUUUUCUGAGAAAACACAAUAGUGGAUUGAUUGAAAAAAAG